rnacentral:rRNA from 1 species
GCACGCCUAACACAUGCAAGUCGAGCGCUACCUUCGGGUGGAGCGGCGGACGGGUGAGUAAUGCUUGGGAAUAUGCCUUUGAGUGGGGGACAACAGUUGGAAACGACUGCUAAUACCGCAUAAUGUCUACGGACCAAAGGGGGGGAUCUUCGGACCUCCCGCUCAUAGAUUAGCCCAAGUGAGAUUAGCUAGUUGGUAAGGUAAUGGCUUACCAAGGCGACGAUCUCUAGCUGGUUUGAGAGGAUGAUC